AGAAGCUUCUAACAACUGACUCUUGCCAAUAACCAUGUGAAUGAGUUUGGAAAAUUGUGGACUUCGAGGACACUGCUGAUGGGAAACCCAAAAGACAUGAAGAGGAAAGCCAGCCUCAUUGCAGCUCUGUUGCAGCACCUAUGAAAGGCCGGGA